GGAUCAGUAGGUUGGUCGUGCCACCGGUACGUACUGGUCUCACUGAUUCCUCCUUCCUGAAGAACCGUAAUGCCAUUAAUUUGGUGUUGCGGGGAAACAGGACUGUUACUUUGAAAAAAUUAGAGUGUUUAAAGCAAGCUAACGCUUGAAUACAUUAGCAUGGAAUAAUGAAAUAGGACGAUCAAUCCUAUUUUGUUGGUUUCUAGGAUUGACGUA
rnacentral:rRNA from 1 species